UCCUGUUGUCGCUUCAUACCCUAAAUAGUAUAUCAUACUUAUUAUGUUUCUGAGUUAUAAUAAAAGUAGCCCAGUGGAUGGCAUCGGAAGUCGUAAAGGAUGAGCUCAAAUGAGAAAUUGGAUGUGUAUAGAUUUGGUUGUUUUGUCAGAGCUUGCUACUUUGCAGAUGACUUGGAGUAAUCUAAAUGCUAAUCAGGCGACAACAAUAUUUAAGUUGCAGCAUAACACAAAAGGCUUUAUUUUGACCACAUUCAUGGAUGGGAUAUUAAGCCAGUGAGAUUUCAGCUCUCAACUUCAGAUGGCCAACUAGCAAUAUCUCAAUGCUACUUGACCUCGCCUGGCAUGUUUUAAGCUGGAAUAGGGAGUGAAUAUAACUGCCAAUUCACUACACCCUUGAAUCAUAAGAACAAAUCUUAUAAGUUGUGGGUGGCUUCAUGUCUUUCUUUAUAAAAACACUCUAGAGAUUCCCGAAGGACAUUCCACAAAUUUGGCCUGCAACAACAUCCUAUGUACCAUUGAACCCACAAUUUAAGGGUGUUGGUGGCAGUAUAGUAGUUUGCUAAUAAUAGAAACUCAACUAAUCUAACAAAAAAUGUCUAAACCACCACAAUUUUUAUAAAAAAGCUAUUUGCCGUGUUUGAUGAUAACAUACAUGUUUUGAAUUAGCAAAUAUUGAUGUGAUUGGUGGUGACAGACCUUUGUAGCAACACCAUUUUGGAAGAAGAUUAUAAUUACGAAUAGAGCUUUGUUUUGUGU